rnacentral:rRNA from 1 species
GUCUUCUCGUUUAUUUGGGAAGUCUGACCUGCCCAGUGAAAUAAUUAUUUAACGGCCGCGGUAUCUUGACCGUGCAAAGGUAGCAUAAUCAUUAGUCUUUUAAUAGAAGACUGGAAUGAAGGGUUUGACGAAAUAUUAACUGUCUCAUUUUGAUAUUUUAAAAUUUAAUUUUUGAGUUAAAAAGCUUAAAUCUUAUUGGAAGACGAGAAGACCCUAUAGAGCUUUAUAAUUAAAUUUAUGGUAAAAAAUUGUUUAAUAAAGUAUUACUAUUAUUUUAAUUUUUUUGUUGGGGUGAUGAUAAAUAUAUAUUUAACUUUUAUAUAAUAAAAUUGUUCAUUUAUUUAUGAAUAUUAGAUCCAUUAUUAUUGAUCAUUAGAACAAGUUACCUUAGGGAUAACAGCGUAAUCUUCUUUCGGAGUUCAAAUUUACAAGAAGGCUUGCGACCUCGAUGUUGGAUUAAGAUUAUAAUUAGGUGUAGCAGCUUAAAUGAUAGGUCUGUUCGACCUUUAAAUUCUU